rnacentral:rRNA from 1 species
CACCAGCGCCACGAGUGGUUAUCACGAUUAUUGGGCCUAAAGCGUUCGUAGCCGGUUUGGUAAAUCUCUUGUGAAAUUGUGCUGCUUAACAGCACAGCGUGCAGGAGACACUGCCAGACUCGAGACCGGGAGGGGUCAGAAGUAUUCCGUGGGGACCGGUAAAAUGGGAUAAUCCACGGAGGACUACCGAUGGCGAAGGCAUCUGACCAGAACGGAUCUGACGGUGAGGAACGAAAGCCAGGGGAGCGAACCGG